GCGCUCGUAGCUCAAUUGGAUAGAGCGUCGGUCUACGGAACCGAAGGUUGCAGGUUCGACUCCCGCCGGGCGCA
rnacentral:tRNA from 1 species